rnacentral:rRNA from 1 species
GCAAGGAAUAUUGCACAAUGGGGGGAACCCUGAUGCAGCAACGCCGCGUGGGCGAUGAAGGCCUUCGGGUUGUAAAGCCCUUUUCUAGAGGAAGAGACAAGGACGGUACUCUAGGAAUAAGUCUCGGCUAACUACGUGCCAGCAGCCGCGGUAAAACGUAGGAGACGAGCGUUAUCCGGAUUUACUGGGCGUAAAGGGCAAGUAGGCGGUUGGACAAGUUGGACGUGACAAUUCUCGGCUUAACUGAGAGGGGUCGUCCAAAACUAGCCAACUAGAGGGCAGGAGAGGGGAGUGGAAUUCCUAGUGUAGCGGUGGAAUGCUUAGAGAUUAGGAAGAACACCAGUGGCGAAGGCGGCUCUCUGGCCUGACCCUGACGCUGAGAGGCGAAAGCUAGGGGAGCGAACGGGCUUAGAAACCCUUGUAGUCC